rnacentral:rRNA from 1 species
UACGAGGGGAGCAAGCGUUGUUCGGAUUUACUGGGCGUAAAGGGCGCGUAGGCGGCCACCGCAAGUCAAUUGUGAAAUCUCCGGGCUUAACUCGGAAAGGUCAACUGAUACUGCGGGGCUAGAGUGCGGAAGGGGCAACUGGAAUUCUCGGUGUAGCGGUGAAAUGCGUAGAUAUCGAGAGGAACACCUGCGGCGAAGGCGGGUUGCUGGGCCGACACUGACGCUGAUGCGCGAAAGCCAGGGGAGCGAACGGG